rnacentral:rRNA from 1 species
UACGAAGGGUGCAAGCGUUACUCGGACUUACUGGGCGUAAAGCGUGCGUAGGUGGUUUGUUAAGUCUGAUGUGAAAGCCCUGGGCUCAACCUGGGAAUGGCAUUGGAUACUGGCGAGCUAGAGUGCGGUAGAGGGUAGUGGAAUUCCCGGUGUAGCAGUGAAAUGCGUAGAGAUCCGGAGGAACACCGGUGGCGAAGGCGGCUUCCUGGACCGACACUGACGCUGAGGCGCGAAAGCUAGGGGAGCAAACGGG